AUUGAACGCUGGCGGCAGGCUUAACACAUGCAAGUCGAGCGAAGAUGAGGUGCUUGCACCUUAUCUUAGCGGCGGACGGGUGAGUAAUGCUUAGGAAUCUGCCUAUUAGUGGGGGACAACAUUCCGAAAGGAAUGCUAAUACCGCAUACGCCCUACGGGGGAAAGCAGGGGAUCUUCGGACCUUGCGCUAAUAGAUGAGCCUAAGUCGGAUUAGCUAGUUGGUGGGGUAAAGGCCUACCAAGGCGACGAUCUGUAGCGGGUCUGAGAGGAUGAUCCGCCACACGGGGACUGAGACACGGCCCAGACUCCGACGGGAGGCAGCAGUGGGGAAUAUUGGACAAUGGGCGGAAGCCUGAUCCAGCCAUGCCGCGUGUGUGAAGAAGGCCUUUUGGUUGUAAAGCACUUUAAGCGAGGAGGAGGCUACCUGGAUUAAUACUCUAGGAUAGUGGACGUUACUCGCAGAAUAAGCACCGGCUAACUCUGUGCCAGCCGCCGCAGUAAUAC
rnacentral:rRNA from 1 species